UACGAAGGGGGCUAGCGUUGUUCGGAUUUACUGGGCGUAAAGCGCACGUAGGCGGAUUGUUAAGUCAGGGGUGAAAUCCUGGAGCUCAACUCCAGAACUGCCUUUGAUACUGGCAAUCUUGAGUCCGGAAGGGGUGAGUGGAACUGCGAGUGUAGAGGUGAAAUUCGUAGAUAUUCGCAAGAACACCAGUGGCGAAGGCGGCUCACUGGCCCGAUACUGACGCUGAGGCACGAAAGCGUGGGGAGCAAACAGG
rnacentral:rRNA from 1 species